UACGUAGGGGCCCAGCGUUGUCCGGAUUCAUUGGGCGUAAAGCGCGCGCAGGCGGCCCGGUGUGCCGCCCGUGAAAUCCCCCGGCUCAACCGGGGGGGGUCGGGCGGGACUGCCGGGCUGGAGGCGGGUAGGGGGCAGCGGAAUUCCCGGUGUAGUGGUGGAAUGCGUAGAUAUCGGGAGGAACACCAGUGGCGAAGGCGGCUGCCUGGACCCGGCCUGACGCUGAGGCGCGAAAGCGUGGGGAGCGAGCCGG
rnacentral:rRNA from 1 species